GGGGAGUACGGGCCGCAAGGUUAAAACUCAAAUGAAUUGACGGGGGCCCGCACAAGCGGUGGAGCAUGUGGUUUAAUUCGAUGCAACGCGAAGAACCUUACCUACCCUUGACAUCCUGCGAACCCGGAAGAGAUUCCGGGGUGCCUUCGGGAGCGCAGAGACAGGUGCUGCAUGGCUGUCGUCAGCUCGUGUUGUGAAAUGUUGGGUUAAGUCCCGUAACGAGCGCAACCCUUGUCCCUAUUUGCCAGCGAUUCGGUCGGGAACUCUAGGGAGACUGCCGGUGACAAACCGGAGGAAGGUGGGGACGACGUCAAGUCAUCAUGGCCCUUACGGGUAGGGCUACACACGUGCUACAAUGGCCGGUACAAAGGGUUGCGAAGCCGCGAGGUGAAGCCAAUCCCAGAAAGCCGGCCUCAGUCCGGAUUGGAGUCUGCAACUCGACUCCAUGAAGUCGGAAUCGCUAGUAAUCGUGCAUCAGAAUGGCACGGUGAAUACGUUCCCGGGCCUUGUACACACCGCCCGUCACACCAUGGGAGUGGACUGCACCAGAAGUGGUUAGCCUAACUUCGGAGGGCGAUCACCACGGUGUGGUUCAUGACUGGGGUGAAGUCGUAACAAGGUAGCCGUAGGGGAACCUGCGGCUGGAUCACCUCCUU
rnacentral:rRNA from 1 species